rnacentral:lncRNA from 1 species
GGCUGACUGAAACCCUGUGUGGAAAGGCACUUUGCAAAGCAUGCCACUGGGGCUUCCAAGGUGGCGAGCUAUGUUGGGAAGCUGUUGGACAGGAUUAUCCUCCGAGUCAAGCAGCUGCUGUCUUCUUCAUGAGGUGAAUGAGCUGGGUGACUGGCAGGAGAGGAGUGCAAUGCCUCAGAGAAAGAAAUGCACGUGGCCUACGUGACUGUUCGAGCCCUGUGUGCAUGUACCGGGAUCAUGGUGGUGGUUGUCUUCACGCCUGGAUGUGUUCCCUGCACCAUGCCUGCCCUGCAAGCUGGAGUCACACUGCCCAGUGCAUUCCCAGUCUCCGACUCCUGAGUCCUUGUCUCCUGAUCCACUUUUGUGGAAGCCCAAGGCCAGCCUCAUCAAGUGGCAGUUGCUCUGUAGCUUCCUGUUCUCCCAGGAGACCCACCUUGCCACAGUGACUGCAGAAGCCCUUCAAGAAAGGCACCAGGGAAGGACUCUGAUCGCCUCCUGGUGACGCCUGGCAGCUUUCUGUGCGACAGAUAUACCUUGAUGCUCAAUGCAUGAUUCUGCUACCUACCCAGUGUUCUCUGAAAAAUUAAUUUCUGUUCACCAGCUGUGAUAGUUUAGUAUUAAUUUUUUUGCUUCAUUUUUGUUUUGUUUUUCAAGAGAGAGUUUUCUGUGCAUUUCUGGCUGUCCUGGAAAUCAUGCUGUAGACCACACUAACCUCAAACUCAGAGAUCCACCUGCCUCCCUUCAUGAGUGCUGGGAUUAAAGGCUUGUGCCACCACUGCCUGGCCUUAGUGUUAACUUUUAAUAGAACCAGGAAUUCCCUAUGUGUCAGACAUCUAGGCAUGCUUGGGGUAGAGGGGGGUGUUAUCUUGAAUGUGUUAAUUGAAGUGGGAGGGCCUACUCGUUGGGGUGCUGGACUAUGUAAAUGGAGA